AAGAGCCGUAUGAAGCGAGAGUUUCACGUACGGUUCUGUGAGAGGCUUGAGAUGAAAUGCUUUUGCCUACUUGAC
rnacentral:ncRNA from 3 species